GUAGGGAAUAUUGGGCAAUGGUCGGAAGACUGACCCAGCCAUGCCGCGUGCAGGAAGACGGCCCUCUGGGUUGUAAACUGCUUUUAUCUGGGAAGAAAAAGGCCAUGCGUGGCAAAUUGCCGGUACCAGAUGAAUAAGCACCGGCUAACUCCGUGCCAGCAGCCGCGGUAAUACGGAGGGUGCGAGCGUUGUCCGGAUUUAUUGGGUUUAAAGGGUGCGUAGGCGGCUGAUUAAGUCAGCGGUGAAAGACUUCGGCUUAACCGGAGCAGUGCCGUUGAUACUGGUUGGCUUGAGUGUCGGAGGGGUACAUGGAAUUGAUGGUGUAGCGGUGAAAUGCAUAGAUACCAUCAGGAACACCGAUAGCGAAGGCAUUGUACUGGGCGACAACUGACGCUGAUGCACGAAAGUGUGGGGAUCGAACAGGAUUAGAAACCCUGGUAGUCC
rnacentral:rRNA from 1 species